UGAAGAUGAGAGGUAGAGGAUCAGGACUGGAAUAAGGCACCACAAAACUGCGCCCUUGCCUGAUUUCAUUUCAGCAAGCUUUACUGUGAAGUGUUUAUGUGCCAGGCACCAUGUAUAGAAGCGCUGGCCCAAAGAUGAAGAUGAAGUUUCUAUCCUUAAGGCAUGCGGUGUGGGAGAUGAACAGAGACAGACAAGAAAGCCACAGAGGAGAAGGUGAUGUGAAGACAGAAGCAGGGAUUGGAGUGAUCCAUCUACAAGCCAAGAAAUACCAAUGGUUGCUGCCUACCACCAGGGUCUAGGAGAGUGGCAUGGAACAGAUUUUCCCUCAGAGCUUCCAGAAAGAACUAACCCUGUCAACACUGUGAUUCUGGACUGUGAGAGAGAAAUUUCUGUUGUUUUAAACCGUCAAGUUUGUGGUAAUUCGUUAUGGCAGCCGUA